AUAUGUUGAGCUAUUUCAACUAAUAUAGCUCACAUUUUUCUUACUGAUUUGCUUGCUUAAAUGUCUUCAGUGAAUCUUAAUCCACACUAAUCAGUCUACAGCAAUAUCCAAUUUUAUUUGAACAUUAAUUAAUGGAAUGGGGUUUAAAAACAAUAUUUCAGGCCGUUUUUGCGAUUACGAGUCUUACUUGUUUAUAACUUUAAACAUAUUGACAUUGCCAUUGAUUAUAAUUUUGCUUUGCUAGAAUGAAAACGGGUUCAAAAUGUUGCAGUCAAAAUAUUCUUCUUGACAUCAGCCUUUAAAUGAGGAAAAUUAAUGAAGAGGAAAGUGAUUCCCAAAGAGCUGCACAUACAUAAAGGAAGACCUUUAAUUAAAUCUGUUCCAGUUCUAUAUAAUUUCACUGCUCCACAAGAAAAGCACAACAGCAUACCGACUCUUCCAAAAUGAAGCUAUAUCUUAUCGGAUCCUGAUGAGGUCUGUCCAAGUGCAAGGAAGCCACCGAUAAGUAGUAGUCAGCUCUAUUUUACUUAUGAUGCCAAUAAAUCCCAGAAUUUAUCUCUGCUGUUUUCGGGGUGACAGGUGCAACACAGCCAGCCGAAGCACGGACUCUAGUGGGGUCUCGGGCGUCUUGUGCCAACCAAUGGGACGGCGCACCAUGCCGGAGUCGAGCGGAGUUUGGGGUGAUCGUCGGGCACCUGUGCCAAUCAGGGCGCGGGUGGGAGGAGUUCAGGGGACUUGGAGGUGUGUCUCGAGAAUGCGAGUCUGCAGCUGCAUAUUGUGUCUAAGACGGGGAGUAAUGUGACAGAUUAAGCCAGAAGGCACAACAAGAGACGACGCAAAGAACAGUUGGACAAACUGUAAACUUGGGCAGAAGCAGCCCCAAAGUGCUC